rnacentral:rRNA from 1 species
UACGUAGGGGGGCAAGCGUUGUCCGGAUUCAUUGGGCGUAAAGAGCGUGUAGGCGGCCAGGUAGGUCGGUUGUGAAAACUGGAGGCUCAACCUUCAGAGGUCGACCGAAACCAUCUGGCUAGAGUCCGGGAGAGGAGAGUGGAAUUCCUGGUGUAGCGGUGAAAUGCGCAGAUAUCAGGAAGAACACCCGUGGCGAAAGCGGCUCUCUGGAACGGUACUGACGCUGAGACGCGAAAGCGUGGGGAGCGAACAGGG